UCAGGCCUAACACAUGCAAGUCGAACGGCAGCGCGGGAGCAAUCCUGGUGGCGAGUGGCGAACGGGUGAGUAAAGCAUCGGAACGUGCCCAGUCGUGGGGGAUAACGUAGCGAAAGCUACGCUAAUACCGCAUAUGAUCUGUGGAUGAAAGCGGGGGACCGUAAGGCCUCGCGCGAUUGGAGCGGCCGAUGUCAGAUUAGGUAGUUGGUGGGGUAAAGGCCCACCAAGCGGACGAUCUGUAGCUGGUCUGAGAGGACGACCAGCCACACUGGGGGUGAGACACGGCCCAGACUCCUACGGGAGGCAGCAGUGGGGAAUUUUGGACAAUGGGCGCAAGCCUGAUCCAGAAGUGCCGCGUGCAGGAUGAAGCCCUUCGGGUUGUUAUUAUAGGGGGUACGGAGCGAAAAGGUCUGCACUAAUACUGUGGGCUC
rnacentral:rRNA from 1 species